UACGUAGGUGACCAGCGUUGUCCGGAUUUACUGGGCGUAAAGAGCGCGCAGGCGGUCGUUCAAGUCGAGUGUGAAAGCCCCCGGCUCAACUGGGGAGGGUCAUUCGAUACUGAUCGACUGGAAGGCAGGAGAGGGAAGCGGAAUUCCCGGUGUAGUGGUGAAAUGCGUAGAUAUCGGGAGGAACACCAGUGGCGAAGGCGGCUUCCUGGCCUGUUCUUGACGCUGAGGCGCGAAAAGCUAGGGGAGCAAACGGG
rnacentral:rRNA from 1 species